AUGGUCAUCAAGCUCGACUUCAGAAAAGCUUUUGACUCCAUUUCUUGGUCCUCUCUAAUAUCGAUCUUACAAGCAAGAGGUUUCCCUCCCAUCUUCUGUGCAUGGGUCCAAAACAUUCUCCAUACUGGCAAAACAGCUAUUCUCCUCAAUGGCACUCCGGGGUCCUGGAUCCAAUGUAGAGCUGGCCUUCGACAAGGUGACCCCUUCUUGCCGUAUUUAUUCAUCAUCGUCGCAGAUAUCCUUCAAAGACUGAUCGCACAGGCUUUCCGGCAAAACGAACUAUGUCACCCCCUCCGUUCGAAUGAACCACCAGUAACCCUACAAUACGCCGAUGACACACUAAUUAUUGCUGCCGCUAGCGUCGCAGCAGCCACUAUCCUCAAAAACACCCUGCAUGAUUUCGCCCUAGCGACUGGCCUAGUCAUCAACUUCCAAAAAACCUCGCUUCUCACCAUUGCCACAGAUGACCUCAUCCAAAAUAACAUCGCUGCAACCCAUUGGAUGUAA
rnacentral:rRNA from 1 species